rnacentral:rRNA from 1 species
GGGCUCCANGUUGCGGUUUUAACUUGCAAGUCGACGGCACGCAAGGGGAUGGCUGACGGGUGAGUAACGCGUGGGAAAAAACCUUUCCUGCUGUGAGCUCCGGGAGGUGGAAUUACUAUCGCAUACGCCCUACGGGGGAAAGAUUUAUCGGGGAAGGAUUGGCCCGCGUUGGAUUAUCUAGUUGGGGGGGUAAAGGCCUACCAAGGCGACUAUCCAUAGCUGGUCUGAGAGGAUGAUCAGCCACAUUGGGACUGANACACGGCCCAAACUCCUACNGGAGGCACCNAUGGGGAAUAUUGGACAAUGGGCGCANGCCUGAUCCAGCCAUGCCGCGUGAGUGAUGAAGGCCUUAGGGUUGUAAAGCUCUUUCACCGAUGAAGAUAAUGACGGUAGUCGGAGAAUAAGCCCCGGCUAACUUCGUGCCAGCAGCCGCGGUAAUACGAAGGGGGCUAGCGUUGUUCGGAAUUACUGGGCGUAAAGCGCACGUAGGCGGAUAUUUAAGUCNGGGGUGAAAUCCCGCAGCUCAACUGCGGAACUGCCUUUGAUACUGGGUAUCUUGAGUAUGGAAGAGGUAAGUGGAAUUCCUGGUGUAUCGGUGG